UACGAAGGGGGCUAGCGUUGCUCGGAAUUACUGGGCGUAAAGGGCGCGUAGGCGGCACUGUUAGUCAGGCGUGAAAGUCCUGGGCUCAACCUGGGAACUGCGCUUGAUACGGCAGAGCUAGAGGAUGGAAGAGGCUCGCGGAAUUCCCAGUGUAGAGGUGAAAUUCGUAGAUAUCGGGAGGAACACCGGUGGCGAAGGCGGCGAUCUGGGUCGAUACUGACGCUGAGGUGCGAAAGCGUGGGGAGCAAACAGG
rnacentral:rRNA from 1 species